rnacentral:rRNA from 1 species
UACGAAGGGGGCUAGCGUUGCUCGGAAUCACUGGGCGUAAAGGGUGCGUAGGCGGGUCUUUAAGUCAGGGGUGAAAUCCUGGAGCUCAACUCCAGAACUGCCUUCGAUACUGGGAAGCUCGAGUCCGGGAGAGGUGAGUGGAACUGCGAGUGUAGAGGUGAAAUUCGUAGAUAUUCGCAAGAACACCAGUGGCGAAGGCGGCUCACUGGCCCGAUACUGACGCUGAGGCACGAAAGCGUGGGGAGCAAACAGGG